rnacentral:rRNA from 1 species
GACUACCCGCUGAAUUUAAGCAUAUUAAUAGGCGGAGGAAAAGAAACUAACAAGGAUUCCCCAAGUAGCGGCGAGCGAACAGGGAGAAGCCCAGCACGGAAUCCCGCGUGGCAACGCGCAGGGAGUUGUCGUGUGAGGGAGGUUCCGUCGUCCCGGGGGUCGGCAGUGAGUCCAAGUCUCCCUUGAACGGGGCCACAGCCCGCAGAGGGUGCCAGGCCCGUAGAGACCGCUGCCGCUCCCGGGUGGAGCUCUCCUCAGAGUCGUGUUCCUUGAGAGUGGAGCACUAAGAGGGUGGUAAACUCCAUCUAAGGCUAAAUACGACCACGAGACCGAUAGCGAACAAGUACCGUGAGGGAAAGUUGAAAAGAACUUUGAAGAGAGAGUUCAAUAGUACGUGAAACCGUUCAGGGGUAAACGGGAGAGACCCGAAAGAACGAAGGGGGAGACUCAAUCCCGCCCGCGUGUCCGGUCCUCGGCGGCCACGGAUGCCCCCGGUCGCCCACCGCGCCCUACGGCGCGCGCAGGUCACGAUCCGAGGGCACCGGCCGUCCGGGUUCAAUCCCGGCCGCGGCGGGAUGCACUUCUCCUCCAGUAGGACGUCGCGACCCGCCGGGUACACUAGUGAGCCGGUCUAAGGCACUCGGGGUGGAGCCCGAGGGAACCGCCGCGGAAACGUGGGUCCACGGUUCCCCGGACCCCCGGUCGCCCGGCCGGCGCCCGGUGGUAAAUCUCGCGGAGCAGGCCCGCUAACCCUACAGUAGCGAGCGUCCAGCCCGGAGGGCAAGCUCUUCGGUGGUGCUCGAGGUGCCGUGGCCUCAGCCACGUCCCCGGCCCCCGUCGGCUGCUGGCCCCCGGAGUCCUCGGACGGUAGCCCGUCUCCCGUUAGCGGCGCUCACGCUUCGGGUGCUCUCCCGACCCGUCUUGAAACACGGACCAAGGAGUCUAACAUGUGCGCAAGUCACUGGGAUUUCGGAGAAAACCCAGAGGCGAAGUGAAAGCGGGGCGCACCCUUUGCGGUCGCCCGGGGAGGACGGCGUCGGGUCAACCGGCGCCCGCACUCCCGGGGCGCCUCGGCCUCCGGCCGCAGGCGCACCCGGAGCGUACACGUUGGGACCCGAAAGAUGGUGAACUAUGCCUGGUCAGGACGAAGUCAGGGGAAACCCUGAUGGAGGUCCGCAGCGAUUCUGACGUG